UACGGGGGGAGCAAGCGUUGUUCGGAUUUACUGGGCGUAAAGGGCGCGUAGGCGGCCACCGCAAGUCGACUGUGAAAUCUCCGGGCUUAACCCGGAAAGGUCAGCCGAUACUGCGGGGCUAGAGUGCAGAAGGGGCAACUGGAAUUCUCGGUGUAGCGGUGAAAUGCGUAGAUAUCAGGAGGAACACCGGUGGCGAAGGCGGGAUCUCU
rnacentral:rRNA from 1 species